CUUUUCGUUUACUGAUAACAGCUUACCCUGUACUCUAAAUUUUCGUACAGUAUUAAUUUUGUAACCACAUUACGUGUAUUUAUUUGUUUAUUUAAAUGAAUACUUCAAAUGAGAGGAACGCCUUUCAAUAGCCGGAUGGAUAGAUAUCACAAGGAGUAUACUAGUUCUGAGGAGAAACCUCGGGAUUGGUUAGAAUGAGGAAGCCAUAAUUUGUAUAAAAGAAGACCACUGUAGUAUAAUCAUAGUAAACAUUUUCUGGUAGAUAUUGUUAAACAAUCAG
rnacentral:lncRNA from 1 species